rnacentral:rRNA from 1 species
CAAUAGCGUAUAUUAAAGUUGUUGCAGUUAAAAAGCUCGUAGUUGGAUUUGUGGUUCGUCCCGCCGGCUGGGUCAUUGACUUUUGCUGUGCUGGUCGUCCAUCCUUGGGUGGAAUCUGUGUGGCAUUAGGUUGUCGCGCAGGGGAUGCCCAUCGUUUACUGUGAAAAAAUUAGAGUGUUCAAAGCAGGCUUAUGCCGUUGAAUAUAUUAGCAUGGAAUAAUGAUAUAGGACCUUGGUACUAUUUUAUUGGUUUGCGCAUCGAGGUAAUGAUUAAUAGGGACAGUUGGGGGUAUUCGUAUUCCAUUGUAAGAGGUGAAAUUCUUGGAUUUUUGGAAGACGAACUACUGCGAAAGCAUUUACCAAGGAUGUUUUCAUUAA